rnacentral:rRNA from 1 species
AAGAGGAGCUUGCUUUCUCGAGCGAGUGGCGAACGGGUGAGUAACGCGUGAGGAACCUGCCUUUCAGAGGGGGACAACAGUUGGAAACGGCUGCUAAUACCGCAUAAGCGCACAGCAUCGCAUGAUGCAGUGUGAAAAACUCCGGUGGUAUGAGAUGGACCCGCGUCUGAUUAGUUAGUUGGUGGGGUAACGGCCUACCAAGGCGACGAUCAGUAGCCGACCUGAGAGGGUGACCGGCCACAUUGGGACUGAGACACGGCCCAAACUCC